rfam:Schistosoma mattheei strain Denwood, Zambia genome assembly, scaffold: SMTD_contig0004701
GCACUACUGAGGAGUCCUACAAUUGGACUAAACGGUCGUCCAGUAC